rnacentral:rRNA from 1 species
CCUACGGGUGGCAGCAGUGAGGAAUAUUGGUCAAUGGACGAGAGUCUGAACCAGCCAAGUAGCGUGAAGGAUGACUGCCCUAUGGGUUGUAAACUUCUUUUAUAUGGGAAUAAAAUGUUCCACGUGUGGGAUUUUGUAUGUACCAUAUGAAUAAGGAUCGGCUAACUCCGUGCCAGCAGCCGCGGUAAUACGGAGGAUCCGAGCGUUAUCCGGAUUUAUUGGGUUUAAAGGGAGCGUAGGUGGAUUGUUAAGUCAGUUGUGAAAGUUUGCGGCUCAACCGUAAAAUUGCAGUUGAAACUGGCAGUCUUGAGGACAGUAGAGGUGGGCGGAAUUCGAGGUGUAGCGGUGAAAUGCUUAGAUAUCACGAAGAACUCCGAUUGCGAAGGCAGUUCACUGGACUGCAACUGACACUGAGGCUCGAAAGUGUGGGUAUCAAACAGGAUUAGAUACCCCAGUAGUC